rfam:Ovis aries breed Texel chromosome 16, whole genome shotgun sequence.
CCCCAGGUGGCUCAGUGGUAAAGAUUCUGCCUGCCAAGCAGGAGAUCUGAGUUUGAUUCCUGGAUUGGGAA